GCGCCUGUCAUGGAUGGGAAGACGUUUUGCAGCGGUUAUCCGGCUUUAGGCGAGGAGAGCUAGAAACAGCCGCAGCUCCCCUUGCCGACGGGCUGAUCGAAGGAGUGAAUGUCUGUGUGAGUGAGUGUGUGUGUGUGUCUGUGAGUCUGGGUCUGUGCGCAUGUAGAUGGUGCAUGGGCUGCAACCAGAGCUGCUGCUGUUGCUGCUGGUGAAUAAUGCAGACAAUGGAACUGAGUUUGGAUAGCAUGCAGGGAGCCAGAUUAAUAAUGCAUCCUGCUGGGUUAUGAGCUCUGCAUUAGUUAGUUUUUGCUGGAACCUGUAGCUGGCUACUGUCUGCCUGCCUUUUUGAAUUACUGACUCCCUGCACACCUUUCUGCCUGCCUGCAAGCCUCUUUACCUGACUGGCGGACUGUCUGACUUUAGUCAGAAAAUGUCUCACUACCAUUUCAUCAAAUGCUGUUGUUUCCAGCUAUGUAAUGUCUUUCGUCAGAACAUGGAGAUAGACCAGUGUCUGCUGGAGUCUCUCCCCAUUGGCCAGCGCCAGCGGCUGGUCAGGAGGAUGCGCUGUGACCAAAUAAGGGCGUACUACGAGAGGGAAAAGAGUCUUCAGCGCCAGCAAGGUGGAAUCAAGGUUCGAGCGCCGCCCACCCACCGCAAGAAGCACCGUGUCCGCUUCAGCCUCGCCGAUAUAAUACAGGAUGCCAUCAUUCGCCAUGACGACAAAGAAGUGUUGCGCCUCCUGAAGGAGGGAGCAGACCCCAACACUCUCAUUUCUUCUGGGGGAUCCAUGCUACACCUGUGUGCUCGCCAUGACAAUCUGUUUGCAGCAGAACUUCUGAUUGAACGAGGCCUGAAUGUUAACCUGCAGGACGAAGACCUUUGGACAGCUCUGCAUGUAGCGUGUGUGUGUGACCAUGCAGACGUGGUGCUGCUGCUGCUGCUGGCCGGGGUGAAUGUUUUGCUGCAGGACGUCAACGGAAACAUUCCUCUGGACUACGCCUCUGAGGGAACUGAGACCAGCUACAUCCUCCGAAAACACCUGGAGGAAAAUGGUGUGGAUGUGUCAUCCAUGCACUCCAUGAAGACGCAGAGACCCAGCACGAUGCUGUCUGACGUUAGACACCUUGUAGCCACAGGGGGGAGUCUCAACCAGCCCAAUGAUGAUGGUGUCACUCUACUCCACAUAGCAGGCGCCAGUGGUUAUAGAGAGGUUGCGUUUGUGUUGUUGGAGAGCGGGGCGGACCCUAAUCCUGCUGACAACAACUUCUGGACCCCUCUUCACCUGGCUGCUAAAUAUGGACAGACAAGCAUCGUUAGCCAGCUCCUGAGGCACAGAGCAAACCCUACUCUGUUGAACUGCAACCACGACAAGCCCUCAGACAUUUCUGCAUCCGAGCCCAUAGCUGAUAUGCUGCUGAAUGCAGAGGAGAGCUGGCUGCAGAGACUAAAGGACCCCUCUGCUCCUCUACCCUCCACUGACCAACGCUAUGAUGGCGGUUUACACGACCUCAACACUCCUGUCAAGAACUUGAACCCCUUGGGACUCUCUAUCUCUAAGCGGGACAGUCUGCUGGAGAAGUGUGCCAUGUUCAGAGAGGCAGGUGGAGCACUGUGCCGACAGCCCUUACAAGACAAUGGCCUAGAUGGCCCCUUUAGCUCUGGAGCCAGCAAACUGGAGCAGGUUAAGCUGAUGCCUCCAGCUCCCAAUGACGACCUGGCGUCCCUGAGUGAGCUGACCGACAGCAGCCUGCUCUACGAGAUGCAGAAGCGCUUUGGCAACGACCAAAUCUACACUUACAUUGGACACAUCCUUCUGCUGGUCAAUCCAAACAAAGAGCUGCCCAUCUACUCCACUUUGGUGAGUCAGUUGUACCUGAGCUCCACUGGUCGUCUGUGCUCCUCUCUGCCACCUCACAUCUUCUCCUCAGCAGAAAGAGCUUACCACAUGAUGCUGCAGGAGAGACGCCCGCAGUGUUUCAUCUUGAGUGGUGAAAGUGGUUCUGGGAAAACGGAGGCCUGUAAGCACAUAGUGAGACACCUGACAGCCCGCUCCAGUCCCAAAGGCUUUGCGCUGGAGCCCAGAAUGAAACACGUUAACUGUAUUCUGGAGGCCUUCGGUCAUGCCAAGACUCUGAAGAACAACAACUCAAGCCGCUUUAUCAAGCUGUUGACCAUCCAAUACUGUGACAAGCGGAGGACACUGCUCAGAGCCCGUGUGUACGCCCACAUGCUGGAGAAGUCUCGUUUGGUCCACCUGUCUCCUCACCAACAGAGCUUCAGCAUCUUCUAUCUGAUGGCUGAAGGCCUGUCGCCUGAAGAGAACAGCGCACUUUACCUCAACAAUGUCCUGGCUCAUAGGUAUCUUAGUGGAGGACUUCCAGGGGAGAACCCACCAGUAGCUACGGCCUCCACCCAGAGCAGGGAACGCCUCACAGCAGUCAAACAAGCCCUGCGAGCCUUGGGCUUUAACAAGCAGGAGGUGGAUUCUGUGUUUAUGCUGCUAUCUGCUGUGCUCCAUAUUGGGGACCUACGUUUUACUGCAUUGACAGAUGCCGAUACAGCCUUCCCUUCUGACCUGCAGCAGCUGGACAGAGUUGCUGGAUUGUUGCAGGUGUGCUCCAAUGACUUAAGCACUGCCCUCACCUCUGACGUCCAAUACUUCAAAGGUGACGUGAUCACUCGGCGCCACACAGUGGAGAUGUCAGAGCAGUACAGAGACCAGCUUGCGAAGGCAAUCUAUGGACGCCUCUUCAGUUAUCUGGUCAACAGUACCAACGACUACCUACAGGGACAGGACGACAGCAUUGGUGAUCCUGCCUUGGAAAUUGGGAUCUUGGACAUCUUUGGGUUUGAAGAAUGUCAGAGGAAUGGAUUUGAGCAGCUGUGCGUGAACAUGACCAACGAGCGGCUGAGGCAGUACGUCUAUGAGGUGCUAUUCCAGCAGGAGCAAGAUGAGUGUCUGCAGGAGGGCAUCGCCAUGGAGACCCCGCGCUCCCCCGGCAACCAGCCAGCCGUUGUGGAUUUCUUUCUUCAGAAGCCUCAUGGACUGCUGUGCGUGUUAGAUGAGGAGAGCCAGAGCCUGCGGCCAUCGGAGCAGACUCUGUACAAGAGGCUGUCAACCCAGCUGGACUCCAGUCCAACUCACGGUCUCAUUCUCACAACCAAGGAUGGCAACGGAAACCCCACACCCAAAGACCAGGGCCCAGCCUUCACUGUCAGCCACUACGCCAGACAGAUUUCAUAUGACCUCACAGGAUCACUCACAAGAAACAAGGACUCUCUUCCUCAGAAUCUCCUUUUCACGAUGAAGUCCAGUGAGAGUGUGUUACUGCAGCAGCUCUUCCAGUCCAAGCUGACUCAGACUGGUUCUCUGGUGCCAGCAGCCCAUGGCCGUGCCGGGCUGAGGGGGCCUAAAGCUGCCCUGUUGCUCCACAGGAUGCCAUCAGUCUCCCUUGUCACUGCCAACACUCUCCCCCAACAGCCCCGGAGGUACCAUGACCUUACCAAGAUCUUGAAGAAAAAAGGCUCAAGCUCCUUCCUCCAAAGGUUAGAACGCUGUGGGCCCAUCACAGUGGCUGUCCAGCAAAGGAACUCGCUGUCAGAAGUGAUCAGUAAGCUGCAGGCUUGCACUCCUCAUUUUGUGGAGUGUGUGUGCCCCAACGCCAGUGGUCAGCCAGACAGUUUUGACAGCUUUCAUGUGUCUACCCAGCUGCAGUACAUUGGGGUACUUGAGAUGGUGCGCAUGAUCCGUUAUGGAUACCCUGUCCGCCUGUCCUUCCCAGGCUUCCUUAGCAGAUAUAAAGACCUUGUGGUCCCAAUUUUGGGAGACAAGAAGAAAUUGUCACCAGAAGAGAGAUGCCGUUCAGUUCUGCAACAGGCCAAACUCCAGGGAUGGCAGAUGGGCAGCAGCAAAGUGUUUCUGAGAUACUGGCAGGCAGACCAGCUCAACGACCGCUGCUAUCAGCUUCAUAAAAAGAUCAUCACCUGUCAGAAAGUGGUGCGUGGCUGGCUGGCCAGACAUCACGUCCAUCGCAGGCUGUCAUUACAGCAGAAAGAGGAGUGCAGUGUGCAGCGUUUCCUGCAGGGGGCAGAAGACAUGGGGCUGCGAACCUACGACCAUUUAGUCAUCCAAAAUGCAUCCGACAUCGCACGAGAGAGCGACCGCCUGCGCUGCCAUGGCAACAGCCUUCUCAACAAACUUGGCAGCAGCCCACCACUUGGUGAGAGGCCUGAGCCGGUGGGCGAGGAAGAGGAUCAGCCUGUUAGAAGGGUUGUGGAGAAAAGUGGAAAAAUCUAUGAUGGUCCUGUCAACGGUGGCAGUCGAGUUAUUCGCCACUUUCGGUCUAGCUCGGUACCCAUCCCCCUCGCUAUGGACAACAUGGUCCAUUCCUCUGCCAGUCCAUCCAUUAAACCAGCCUUGCAGCAGGUAGCUCACGCCAACGAGGAUGGGUUAGGCGGGGGAAGUCUUUCCUCUCCUCGUAAGCAACCUCCGCCCAAACCAAAGAGGGACCCCAACACUCGUCUGAGUGCAUCUUAUGAAGCAGUUAGUGCAGGGUUGACGAUGGCAGCCAAAGAGAGCCCCACUCCAGAGGGCUAUGGUUCGCCAGCUGGAAGCCCUCCUAAAUCCCAGCUAUCCCCCACAGACCCUGCAGCCUUGUCCAAGCCCCGUCCCCACAGUGAUGACUACACAACCAUGAGGAAGGUGCCACCCCCCAAACCUAAGCGCAGUCCCAACACUAAGCUCACGGGCUCGUAUGAGGAGAUCAAUGCUGUAGCACCACACAUCCACCAGCUGCGUCCUGCUGAUGUAAAGUUGGCCUUGCUGUCCCGUGCUGGGGGAUUCGGAGGGUUUGGUGGUUUGAUGCAGAAAGCAGCCUCUGUAGAUGCCCCACAAGGGGUAGGCCUGAGCCUUUACCAGGGUCAAGACGAAGAGGACGUGUACAUAGAGAUGUUGGGCUCCCAGCCACGGGCUCGGAGCCUCCAGGAGCCUCCUGAUAGCCCAGAGCUGGCUGACUCAGAGGCCGUCUAUGAGGAGAUGAAGUAUUACCCUCAUGAAGAUGGUGCAACUCCUGCCUCUGUGGUUAGCAAGGCAGCCAAACUGGAGGCUCUCGGCUUGAGCCUGGUAGGAUUAGGGGCAUCUCCUCCUAAAAGCGGGGAGACGAAACAGAUGGCAGCAGUGGUGACAGCUUCUAUGGACAUCACUAACUCACAGAGCACGUCCAACAGCGGAGCUCCCAAAACUCAGCAUGGCAAAGAUGGCAGCUGUGACAUCCCUGCUCCCUUCCCCAACUUGCUGCCCCACCGUCCACCUCUCCUGGUGUUUCCCCCCUCCCCCGUCACCUGCUCCCCUGCUUCAGAUGAGUCACCCCUCACCCCACUAGAGGUAAAGAAGUUGCCUGUGUUUGAGACUAACCUGAACUAUGCUACUGGCCCAGACAGCCCCCUGUCCCCACAGUAUGCCCGCCAGAGGGCUGACUCCUCCCCUAGCCUCACUGUCCUCAUGCCAGAGAAGAAGUCCACACCUCCACUCACCCCUCCACCUCCUCCCACCAAUGCCCCACCUCCUCCGUACAGACCUCCUUCACACUUCCCCUUCCCGCCUGAGGCUAACUUCCUGACUCUGACCCGCGCAGCAUCUGUCACAGGGAGCUCGGACUCAUCCAAAACCUCAUCCUCUCAAAGGGCAAGCGGGGAACCACUGGGGAAGCCACCUCCCUACUCCCCAGUAAAGAUGUCUCGUCCUGAGCCUCGGAGAGCACAUUCGUGCUCCUCAUCUCCCCUGCUGUUCAACCCAGCCAAUGGUAGACCCCUGACCAGCCCCCUGGAUGAGCUCAACACUCUGUUCAGCUCUGGGCGCAGCCUGCUGAGGAAGUCCACGUCUGGCCGCAAGAUGAGAGAUGGAGGAUUCAAUUCUAAUAUCAAUCUGCCAGGAAGGGAAGAAUGCGGCUCUGCCCCCACCUCACCAUCUCUGCAGCUACAGGACAAGAACGCCAACAACCACACACAUCCUCACUCCUCAAGCCCCGCCCCCGUAGAGAACGGCAACCAGAUCUCCAAUGGGUCUCUGGAGGAUGAGAGUCACAGCAAGUCAAACUCCUCCAGCUCCACCUCUCUGCAUAGACACAUGGACAGCCAUCAUACUCAGAGGGGUCAUCUCAACUUUUCUCCCUUCGGUGCGGGGGCCGCCCUCUAAAACAGUGAGGGGGGGGCAGGGGUGGUCACUGGAAGCCCUGCUCUCAUGUAGGGAUGUGGUUUUCCAGCGGUUACGUCUGUCCAACGGGGAUCAGAGUGCCGCCCUUGGGGAGCUUCUGCGAGGGCGGCGUGUGCAGUGUGAGGGGCGGGGUGACUGGAAGCACCGUCCACCUCAGUCCCCACCCCUGCCUCCCACACUGCUCUGGACCAACAGGAAGGCCUCUCCAUGACAGAGGUUGUGUGAUGCAGACAUGACAUGACAUGUAUUGGUUGUGAAGUUCCUCCCUCUCCUUCUCUUCAGCCACACUCGCACAUGCUCUUUUUUUUUUUUCAAAGUGGACCAAGUAACCUCAAUGCCCAGGGGCUAGGUGAAAGCUCCAAGCUCCAAAGCGUGAGCCUUGUCCCUGGGCUGAAGGUCCUGCCUCUGCGCCUUUGACCUCGACUGUGGAGGAUUCCCCAACCUAUAUGAUAAAAGCUCAGCACUCUGUGAUGCUGACAAGUGUUUUCUAUGAAAAAAAAUGUGGGAAACCAUAGAGGUCCAUGGGGAGCUGUUUUUUGUGAUCAACGAAUUUAUUAACAACAGACGGUCAUUAUUUAUUUUCAGUUCUUCUGAGACAGAAUGAAUGACAUCCAUUAAUGAGAGGCUGAAUUAAAGAGCAGACGAUUAGUGUUUUCAUAGUAGUCAGAUAUUAAAUGGCCCUUUUAGUCUGUCUGUUUCAAGUUGUUCUGUUACGCACAAAUGAGCUCCACCCCAAAACAUGGUGCUGAUUAUACUUGACAUGCUGUCCUGUGAUGUUACCAUGAAUGCUUGUGUGUGCGCCCCCAAAUCUCAAACCUCUCUGAAGUUUACAACGACGCCUUUGUACACCUGCAGUUUUUAGAAUCUGUGUACUGGCUUAAACAUGGAACCUUUUCAGGUACAGCUCUCGCUUAGUGUCUCACGUUUAGGCUCUAAGUGCUACUGCGGCCCUGGCAACGAGCGACCAGGGGUCAGGGUAACCUCAGUAAUAUCCUAAGGUGCACUCUUCUCUUCCCCAUUGUUUCCACCAGCCUUUGAGGAACAAAAACCUCUGGCCAAAAUGCAAACUACUGCACUUACCUUUACUAGGAAAAGGCUAUGUAACAAAAAAAACUGCUUUGUUUUAAGGUAUAAAGGUAAAGCUAAAAUGAUAUAGCUUUACCUGACAGGUAUAUAGUUCAUGUUGUGAACAUGGAACUCUGUGCCAAAGUGACAACUUGUGAAAGAUCCGUCUAAACUUACAAGUAUAGUUAUGAAAACGGAUGUAUACAGUAGUCCCCUUAUAUUCAUAUUCACAGACUGACAUAAAUGACCAAAUCAUAGCUGUUACUGCGGUUCAGUGGGGAUUCACUCAACCGUUUCUAAAUAGAUCGGAAGAACAUGGCGAAAGGCGGAGAAAAAAUACAGUCUACACUUGAAAUGUAGCGACUUAACUCUCAUUGAGUCUCAUCAGCAUCUGAACAGUUUCAUGUGUUCAGUGCUGUUCAGGAGACUGUGCAGAGCUCAGGAACUCACGCACAGAUGAACUCGAUUAUUGUACAGAUUGCUCCACCAUAGGUGUGUCCGCACAGACACCCAUCACCUUCCCCAUCCUUCCUUCAUCUCCUUUCCCGUUUGACCCUACCAAACAGACCCCUUUCCCCCACUUGGUCUUUGACACUGCCCCCACCUUUCUAAUGGAUCAAACCAGCUCUACGGGUGUUUCCAUAGUAACCGCUUUGUAAAUAGUGACCAGUGUUGUAUGUUCUAGCUUUUACUAUAGCAGGAAAGCACAGAGAUUGAUUUGAAAGACGAGGAAGAGAUGAGAUAAUACUGUCUAUGACGGUGAAACUGAGAUUUAAGAAUGUCUUGGGUUAGAUGCAAUGACUGAGGUAAAGAGAAGAGGUUUAUUUUAAAAUGUGAAUAUCUUUUUUUUCAGAAUGAUUGUCUAUGGCUAUGAAAUUAUUUAUACUCUAUUUAAUAUUAUUUGUUUUUUUCCCCUCUUGACCCCGUUGUUUUGUUCUUAUGAUGCAAGGCAGAUGUUUUCAUUGCAUUUGGAUGUUUUAUUGCACAAUGUUUAUGUGGUGUCGUGUUGACUUCUGUAAUGGGCUGGGUGUGUCUCAACAAGCUGUUUGAUCUACGAAUAUCGGUCUGGAUUGUUAGAGCCACAUAGUAUCAAUAGCUCUGAUUGAUUUCUCAUUCCCACUGAUCACCCACAAUGUGUCUAAUUGAUUCAGCCUUACAAAUUAGCAGCACUAUCACAGGAUCGAUUUCAGCUGCUGUCGGUGCAAAAAUAUUCAAGAGGAAUUAGAGGAGAUCACUGAUAUUCACAACAGAGAUGGCAAAUCAGCUGAGCUGCAUUUUUGACUGACUGGCUGAAUGUAUAAAUGCAAAAUUUUCUUUCACUGCCUGAAACCCUGUGUAUCUUAUUACUGGAACAUGCGCCUGUAUCUAAACAGUGUAUCUGACUGCUUAAUGUGAUUAUUGUCUUCAGAAGUUAUGUAUGCAGUCCAUUUUUUAAAAGCAAGGUAAUAACAAUGCAGCAUUUCUGAUAAGUUAUUGAUUUGUGUCAUGUUUCACACCUUGUGUGCUGCGAUUGGGGUUGCAUGAGUAGGACUGCGAUGCAGAACUAUGUCAGACCUUUUCAUCAUAGUUUCAGCUCAUUCACACAAUGAUUUAAACAAAAUAGAAAGGAACCAAGAUCAACCUACUCAACCUUGCCAAUGCCAAUAAAAGAGAAUGUAUAGCCUCUAUAUUGGUCCUUCAUUAUGGUCAGGGUUGUGGUUAGUCAUGUGUGUUAUGGUUUUGUGUAUUACCAUGUGUACUGAAAUCACGAAAUGAGGAGAUGAAUUGUUUUUAUUGUCUUUUAAAGCAUAUCAGUGCUUUUUACCUUGCAUGACCACACGUUGGGUGUGGCCCUUUAUAACGUGCUUAUGCUGAAAAGAUAAAGGCUGUCUAAUGUGAAGAACUGCUUCCCACUGCACUGUGAAUCACUGCACUGUCCCCUGUCUCUAAUCUAAACACUCGUCAGCCAUCUACAUCCACGUUUAACUGGACCGAUCCGCACACAUAUCGGCUCCAUCGUACACAAUCCCUGAAGACCUAGCUCAGUCUGUCGUAAGCAUUACCAAACUGGCAGCCAGAUUACUGCCAGUCAUUGUUGUUAGUCAGGAAUCUUAAAGUGCUCUGCUCUGAGAUCAGCUCUCUGGUGCUACAGCCAGUGUAGAAUGGCCAUUUUAUUGUCCCCAGUCCAUUUAUAGUUGUCCGGAGAGACGCAAUAUUUUAGCACCUAAACAGGGGUAUCUCACUGCCUUUCAUAGUGUUGUUUUGCUUUUUUAUUGUAGUCUUUCUUUUGUACAUGACAUAAAGUCUAUUUUAACCUGCAUACAUAUGUGUUUGUGGAAAGAAAAAAAGAUUGUAUGUGAUAUGUCAUUAUUAUGUUCCCAAUGUUUUAUAAGUACUGUACCUGUACAGCAAUAAAGCACAAUUGUGUCAA